rnacentral:rRNA from 1 species
GAUGAACGCUAGCGGCAGGCCUAAUACAUGCAAGUCGAACGAUAUCUUCCAGCUUGCUGGAAGAGAAAGUGGCGCACGGGUGCGUAACGCGUAUGCAACCUACCUUUAUCAGGGGGAUAGCCCGGAGAAAUCCGGAUUAAUACCGCAUAACAUCAUGGGGUGGCAUUAUUUUAUGAUCAAACAUUUAUGGGAUAAAGAUGGGCAUGCGUGUCAUUAGCUAGUUGGCGGGGUAACGGCCCACCAAGGCGACGAUGACUAGGGGAUCUGAGAGGAUGGCCCCCCACACUGGUACUGAGACACGGACCAGACUCCUACGGGAGGCAGCAGUAAGGAAUAUUGGUCAAUGGAGGGAACUCUGAACCAGCCAUGCCGCGUGCAGGAAGACUGCCCUAUGGGUUGUAAACUGCUUUUAUCCGGGAAUAAACCUGAGUACGUGUACUUAGCUGAAUGUACCGGAAGAAUAAGGAUCGGCUAACUCUGUGCCAGCCGCCGCCGUAAAAC